UACGUAGGUGGCAAGCGUUGUCCGGAAUUAUUGGGCGUAAAGCGCGCGCAGGUGGUCCUUUAAGUCUGAUGUGAAAGCCCACGGCUCAACCGUGGAGGGUCAUUGGAAACUGGGGGACUUGAGUGCAGAAGAGGAUAGUGGAAUUCCAAGUGUAGCGGUGAAAUGCGUAGAGAUUUGGAGGAACACCAGUGGCGAAGGCGACUAUCUGGUCUGUAACUGACACUGAGGCG
rnacentral:rRNA from 1 species